UGCUUUCGUGGAGGCAGCCAGGCGUUCCCUUGUUUCAGCGGUGUUCGACAGAAAAAGUGUCCGUUUUCCGUUCCAUAGAAAUAGAGCCAAACACCGCUGAGCGUUCGCAUGAUUUAAAAUGGCCGCUGCCUCGUGGUCGACAUACGAACGACGACCACCCUGAGUUCGGUUUAAUUGAGAAGUGUCUGCGGUUAACCACAACGUUAUAAUGGUGAUCACUUCGUUAACCUGCAGCACACUCCUCACUUGGGUGGCCGUUCGUUCGGCAGAUUUGUUCGGGAAAAAGAGUCAUUCGAAUGGCUGGGCUAUAGAAACCAGCCAUUCAUACGAACGGGGACAAACAGACGAACGGGCAAAAAUCCAG